GGCUUUGUAGCUUAAUGAAAGCAGUUGUUUGUCGAACAACAAGUUGCCGUUUCGUAAACGGUCAAAGUCG
rnacentral:tRNA from 1 species